rnacentral:lncRNA from 10 species
CACAGCUGGCCAUACCUAGGAAAUUAAUUUAUAUCAACCAAGUUUACAGGAUACCAAUGUAUAAACUUGAUCAUAAUUUAGUCAUUUGAACUGUAGAAACUUCUUUCUCCAUGACCAAUAUGUACCUAUUCUAGGCAUGUGGAAAAUCAACCGGAACUUCAGCUGGUGGCUUAAUGAGAUAAUUUUGAGACCUGUUUCUCCUAGACUGUAAGAGGUAGAUGAAAUCCUCCACCACAUCAGAGGACACCUCUCAGAGUAUGGAAUAUAGUACAUCCUCCAGAAUCAGCUGGGAACAAUGACUGCCAAAAGUGUCCAGAGGAAGUCUGCAGGACCUGGGUCUCUCCUAGGUGGAAUAUUCUUUGAAAUCAGCCACCUCCAGAUAAAAAGACAAAAUGCCUCCCAAAGCUACGAGAUGAACUACAGAAUUCUAAUUGUUCCCAUGCUUCCUGAAGAUUUGAAAUUCCAGCCUGUGCUUCAUUCCCAUGCAGUUCUUGUUAACUCCACACAUGGAAGGAAAGUAACUUGGGUCUGGCCUUGAUGAGGCUCCUGAAUUUUCCUGCUUGUGAUACGGUGGUGUUCUGAAGACUGGUGCUGAUCUUCAUGCUACCAUUGCUCCAGCCAGUGGGUCAUGACUCUAGUGAAUGAAGAAUCCCAGACAAUGGAAGCUGCCCAUGGCUUGGAACCUGCUUCCAUGAAAGCCUGUGCCACCCUAGCCCAGUUCUGGCUGAGCUGUAUUAUUGGGUCAGCCUUCUAAGAGCUUCCCUGCCUUAGUUCUUCCCUUUUAGGUCAGCCUUAAAGCCUCAUGAGAGGGCUUUUGUAAAGCAUGGAUGUACCCACAUUCUUUAGUGUAUCACUUCUAUAAAGUUGUCAAUGGGUUUCCAUCAUAAAUAGCCACUUUCCUCCAAGUGUGAUCCCCAGGACAUCAUCAGAAGCUCUUGGACUGCAUGCUAACAUGCAAACUCCUGAGCUCUGUCUGAAACCUAAUGAACACCAGUAAGCUGCUUUUUCUCUCCAGUGGCUUCAAAGGUGAUUUCUAUGCACACAACCAUAGGAACCUCAGACUUAAAUAAAGGCCAGUUGUUGAUUUCAACAUUAAAAUCUGAGCCAGACAAUUUGUCUAGGUCCCCUGGAAGGAGCAGCAUCCUUCACGUCUCUCUCCCUGCGCAGGCUAUUGUUCCCUGUGGGCCCUCCUUGCCUUGCCUGUGUGCCACACGCACUGGGCCCAUAAUAUCCUGCCACUUCCCUCCUGCUGUCUUGGAAAUGUCACUGCUCCCACAAAACCCCUUGGUUUCCUAGACAUGUUCAGUUAUCACCAUUCACAGCACCUUACCUACCUCGUGAAGCAGUGUUCUGUGAAUAUUAAUCUACCUGCCUGAUAUGGUUUGACUGUGUUCUCACCCAAUCUCACCUUGAAUUGUAGCUCCCAUAAUCCCACAUGUUGUGAGAGGGACCUGGUGGGAAGUACUUGAAUCAUGGGGACAGGUCUUUCCCGUACUGUUCUUGUGAUAGUGAAUAAGUCUCACAGGAUCUGAUGGUUUCAUAAAGGGCAGCUCCCCUGCACAAGAUCUCUUGCCUGCCACUAUGCAAGAUGUGCCUUUGUUCCUCCUUUGCCAUCCACCAUGAUUGUGAGGCCUCCCCAGCCAUGUGGAACUGUGACUCCAUUAAACCUCUUGCCUUUAUAAAUUACCUAGUCUCUUAUGUCUUUAUUAGCAGCAUGAGAACAGACUAAUACAAUGCCUUUGCCCCAUCAGCCACCCAUCUUCAAAAGCUGGAACCACACAUAGAUUUAGUUAGAAUAAUACUUUCCUUAGUAUAGAUUAUAGUUUAUGACCUGCAGACACACGUGGUGUGGUUCUUUGCCCUGCAGCUGCCUCUGAACAGCACUGACCACAUCACUGCACCUCCC